rnacentral:rRNA from 1 species
GACGAACGCUGGCGGCGUGCCUAAUACAUGCAAGUUGAGCGAUGAAGAUUGGUGCUUGCACCAAUUUGAAGAGCAGCGAACGGGUGAGUAACGCGUGGGGAAUCUGCCUUUGAGCGGGGGACAACAUUUGGAAACGAAUGCUAAUACCGCAUAAUAACUUUAAACAUAAGUUUUAAGUUUGAAAGAUGCAAUUGCAUCACUCAAAGAUGAUCCCGCGUUGUAUUAGCUAGUUGGUGAGGUAAAGGCUCACCAAGGCGAUGAUACAUAGCCGACCUGAGAGGGUGAUGGGCCACAGUGGAAUUGGUACACGGUCAAGAGUCCUACGGGAGGCAGCAGGAGGGACUCUUCAGGAAUGGUGUCAAGCCGUAAGGAGCAACGCGGAGUGAGUGAUGAAGGUUGUCGGAUCGUAAAACUCUGUUAUUAGGGAAGAACAAAUGUGGAAGGAAUUAUGCACGGCUUGACGGGACCUAAUAAGAAAGCCACGGCUAACUACGUG